rnacentral:rRNA from 1 species
UACGGGGGGAGCAAGCGUUGUUCGGAUUUACUGGGCGUAAAGGGCGCGUAGGCGGUCAGUGCAAGUCAGUUGUGAAAUCUCCGAGCUUAACUCGGAAAGGUCAACUGAUACUGCUCGACUAGAGUGCGGAAGGGGCAACUGGAAUUCUUGGUGUAGCGGUGAAAUGCGUAGAUAUCAUGAGGAAGACCAGUGGCGAAGGCGGGUCUCUGGACAGUUCCUGACACUGAGACACGAAGGCCAGGGGAGCAAACGGG